rnacentral:rRNA from 1 species
UACGAAGGGGGCUAGCGUUGUUCGGAAUCACUGGGCGUAAAGCGCACGUAGGCGGAUCUUUAAGUCAGGGGUGAAAUCCCGAGGCUCAACCUCGGAACUGCCUUUGAUACUGGGGAUCUCGAGUCCGGAAGAGGUAAGUGGAACUGCGAGUGUAGAGGUGAAAUUCGUAGAUAUUCGGUGGAACACCAGUGGCGAAGGCGACUCGCUGGACUGAUACUGACGCUGAGGUGCGAAAGCGUGGGGAGCAAACAGG